UACCUACUCCCUCCGUCCGAAAAUACUUGUCAUCAAAAUAAAUAAAAACGGAUGUAUCUAAAACUAAAAUAUGUGUAGAUACAUCCUCUUUUGUUUAUUUUGAUGACAAGUAUUUCCGGACGGAGGGAGUACUAA
rfam:Triticum aestivum genome assembly, contig: Triticum_aestivum_CS42_TGACv1_scaffold_323210_4BL